CAAAAGCCUGGUGACAUGCGAUUGGAUGUUUUUAUUCCAGUUGAGCGUAGUCUGAUGCCUUCGAGAUACCAUGCUGGCUGGUGAUUUAUGUAUGGGGUGAUUUGCUUGGGGUCGAGUCCGUGGAGAACAGGGAUCAUGCGCACAAGCCCACCAUUGUUUACUGAUCAGGUGCGGUCCUCCACCUACUUACCAGGCGUUGGCCACGAAACAUGUUCACUUUGGCAGUACUUUCCACCAAAGGCAUCCUCUUGGUUAUGGAGAUUUGAAAAGCUAAGAUAAAGUCUUCCUUAUUUUCAACUUAAUCUAUUUCAUCUCAGAAAGUAUUAAGGAGAUAAGAACAAGUGGCGAGUUCUUGGUACAUUCCUGCGGACAGCAUCCAGGGAGAGCCUAAGCUAGACAGCGUGAGCACAUAAACCUUUAGAAUCCUGUGAACCAUGCAGUGUUUCAAUCCACAAACAGUAUUUGUUUAGGGAACAAAGCAGCAAAAACCUGCAACGGAUCCAAAGAGGAAAGUAACUCUCCUUUCUGGGAAUGAAGUUCUAUUUGUGCUUGCCUCUCCUCACGCCUUCAAGAUCGUAAAAGCUUUUAAUUUUUUGGAGGUCAGCUGCAGUUACUGCCUUAAAAGCUGCAUCCUUCUUUCAAGGCUUCUGUCACAGACUCGAAGGAAAGCCUGAAAUCAUCAACUAAGCAGCCUAGGGGCCUUAGAUGAGCCAUUUUCCAACUUGGGAAGAGAAAAGAGAGGAAGGAACAAGAAAAGCAUAGUGGAAUCAGAGUCAAUAUCAAUUAUAUUUGGGUGAGGAUCCAUUUAAUUGAUGACAAUUCAAUUCCUGGACUUCAGGGACCAGCCUGUUAACUUGUCUUCUGUAACGGUAAAACAACUAGACAUGUGUGGAGCAGUUUAUGCAACAAAGACAAAGCAAAACUGGAGGACCUAUGAUCCAAGACAAGGCAAGUGUAGAAAACUGGAUGUAUUUAUGUUCAUCUCUAUAUGUGUUAUUUUUAAGUUUUUC
rnacentral:lncRNA from 1 species